CGCGGCCCCCGGGGGACGAGCGUGUGUCAUCCAGGUCUCCACUUGCACAAGCUCACGUUCAUCGUCAGUUUCUGGCAACUCAUCAAACCAGCGGAUCCAACGUUCCUCAUCUUGUUCUUGACCGACACCCACAAGCACCAGACGUGAGCUGUAAACACUGUGGAAGUCAGAAGAAUUAAGGCGGUCCUGGCCCCUACUGGAACGGGCCGAGAGAACCGGGACGGCGGGACCCAAGUGCGGAGUCGUUCGUCUGGAUUCAGGGGAUAAGGCAAAGUUCUCGGAGUCGGGGACAGGCGACUGGUCGGUCGAUCGGCGGU
rnacentral:lncRNA from 1 species